rnacentral:rRNA from 1 species
UACCUGCAGCUCGAGUGGUAACCGCUAUUAUUGGGCCUAAAGCGUCCGUAGCCGGUUUGGUAAAUAUCUGGGUAAAUCGUGAGGCUUAACUUCACGAAUUUCGGAUAGACUGCCAGACUUGGGAUCGGGGGAGGUCAGAGGUACUCCAGGGGUAGCGGUGAAAUGUUGUAAUCCUUGGAGGACCACCGGUAGCGAAGGCGUCUGACUAGAACGAGUCCGACGGCGAGGGACGAAGCCCUGGGGCGCAAACCGGAUUAGAUACCCGGGUAGUCCAGGGUGUAAACGAUGUGGGCUUUGUAUUGGAGGUCCCACGUGGGCGUCCAGUGCAGAAGAGAAGUUGUUAAGCCCACCGCCUGGGAAGUACGGUCGCAAGGCUGAAACUUAAAGGAAUUGGGCGGGGGAGCACAGCGAACGGGAGGAGCGUGCGGUUU